UACAGAGGUCUCAAGCGUUGUUCGGAUUCAUUGGGCGUAAAGGGUGCGUAGGCGGCGCGGUAAGUCGGGUGUGAAAUCUCGGAGCUUAACUCCGAAACUGCAUUCGAUACUGCCGUGCUUGAGGACUGGAGAGGAGACUGGAAUUUACGGUGUAGCGGUGAAAUGCGUAGAUAUCGUAAGGAAGACCAGUGGCGAAGGCGGGUCUCUGGGACGGUACUGACGCUGGAGACGGCGAAAGCCGUGGGGAGCGAACAGG
rnacentral:rRNA from 1 species